UGGGGAAUAUUGCACAAUGGGCGAAAGCCUGAUGCAGCAACGCCGCGUGAGUGAUGAAGGCCUUCGGGUUGUAAAGCUCUGUCUUCUGGGACGAUAAUGACGGUACCAGAGGAGGAAGCCACGGCUAACUACGUGCCAGCAGCCGCGGUAAUACGUAGGUGGCAAGCGUUGUCCGGAUUUACUGGGCGUAAAGGAUGCGUAGGCGGAUACUUAAGUCAGAUGUGAAAAUCCCGGGCUUAACUUGGGAACUGCAUUUGAAACUGGGUAUCGAGAGUGCGGAAGAGGAAAGUGGAAUUCCGAGUGUAGCGGUGAAAUGCGUAGAGAUUAGGAAGAACACCAGUGGCGAAGGCGACUUUCUGGACCGUAACUGACGCUGAGGCAUGAAAGCGUGGGGAGCAAACA
rnacentral:rRNA from 1 species